GACGAACGCUGGCGGCGUGCUUAACACAUGCAAGUCGAACGGAAAGGCCCUGCUUUUGUGGGGUGCUCGAGUGGCGAACGGGUGAGUAACACGUGAGUAACCUGCCCUUGACUUUGGGAUAACUUCAGGAAACUGGGGCUAAUACCGGAUAGGAGCUCCUGCUGCAUGGUGGGGGUUGGAAAGUUUCGGCGGUUGGGGAUGGACUCGCGGCUUAUCAGCUUGUUGGUGGGGUAGUGGCUUACCAAGGCUUUGACGGGUAGCCGGCCUGAGAGGGUGACCGGCCACAUUGGGACUGAGAUACGGCCCAGACUCCUACGGGCGGCAGCAGUGGGGAAUAUUGCACAAUGGGCGGAAGCCUGAUGCAGCAACGCCGCGUGCGUGAUGACGGCCUUCGGGUUGUAAACCGCUUUCGCCUGUGACGAAGCGUGAGUGACGGUAAUGGGUAAAGAAGCACCGGCUAACUACGUG
rnacentral:rRNA from 1 species